rnacentral:rRNA from 1 species
CCUACGGGGGGCAGCAGUGAGGAAUAUUGGUCAAUGGCCGGAAGGCUGAACCAGCCAAGCCGCGUGAAGGACGAAGGUGCCAAGCAUUGUAAACUUCUUUUGUCAAGGGACAAAAUCAGGCUCGAGAGCCUGACCGAGGGUACUUGAAGAAAAAGCAUCGGCUAACUCCGUGCCAGCAGCCGCGGUAAUACGGAGGAUGCGAGCGUUAUCCGGAUUUAUUGGGUUUAAAGGGUGCGUAGGCGGACUAUUAAGUCAGCGGUAAAAGCCCGGGGCUCAACCCCGGCGAGCCGUUGAAACUGGCGGUCUUGAGAUGUCGAGAGGUAUGCGGAAUGCGCAGUGUAGCGGUGAAAUGCUUAGAUAUUGCGCAGAACUCCGAUUGCGAAGGCAGCAUACCGGCGGCGAUCUGACGCUGAGGCACGAAAGCGUGGGUAUCGAACAGGAUUAGAUACCCCAGUAGUC